rnacentral:rRNA from 1 species
CCUACGGGAGGCAGCAGUGAGGAAUAUUGGUCAAUGGACGAGAGUCUGAACCAGCCAAGUAGCGUGAAGGAUGACUGCCCUAUGGGUUGUAAACUUCUUUUAUAUGGGAAUAAAACGUUCCACGUGUGGGAUUUUGUAUGUACCAUAUGAAUAAGGAUCGGCUAACUCCGUGCCAGCAGCCGCGGUAAUACGGAGGAUCCGAGCGUUAUCCGGAUUUAUUGGGUUUAAAGGGAGCGUAGGGGGAUUGUUAAGUCAGUUGUGAAAGUUUGGGGCUCAACCGUAAAAUUGCAGUUGAAACUGGCAGUCUUGAGUACUGGAGAGGUGGGCGGAAUUCGGGGUGUAGCGGUGAAAUGCGUAGAUAUCACGAGGAACACCGGUUGCGAAGGCAGUUCACUGGACAGCAACUGACGCUGAGGCGCGAAAGCGUGGGGAGCAAACAGGAUUAGAUACCCGGGUAGUC